CCCGAAAGAUCGAAUGAGGAGUAUUCAUCGUCAACGAGGUUGGCUUCCAUGUGGUUCGCGAUGUUUGAGACUGAUAUCUCCAUUGGUUGAUUUCACGUGUCCGCUGUGGUAUGUCCGAUCGCGUCGGCGUGCACUUCUCCUCUAGUAGAACGUCGCGACCCGCUGAGUGUCGGUUUAAGGAUCGAGGUGUUCGACUGUUACGUUUAUAGUUUCGGCGAAUAAACGUUAACAGACCCUCGAAUUUUCCCGACCUACUGCUCGGCGGUAUGAAUUAUGGUAUCGAGCCGCACUCGAAUGCGUUCAGACUCGUCGCAAGCUCGGUCGUUUCUCGGUGUUACGGAUUUUGUGCCGUGCAUUCUUGAACGAUUGGCUGUUGGUUGACGAUGCUCUUGAACCGGCUUAAAACACACAGAUUACCUGUCGGCGACGCUAUUGCUUUGGGUACUUUCAGGACCCGUCUUGAAACACGGACCAAGGAGUCUAACAUGUACGCGAGUCAUUGGGAUAUAUUUAAACCUAAAGGCGUAUUGAAAGAGAAGAUCGUCCUCGCGUCGAUCGAGGGAGGAUGGGUAACGUUUUCUUUUGUGUUUAUGUUGCCCCGCACUCCCGGGGCGUCUCGUUGUCAUUGCGACAUGAGGCGCACCCAGAGCGUACACGUUGGGACCCGAAAGAUGGUGAACUAUGCCUGGUCAGGAUGAAGUCAGGGGAAACCCUGAUGGAAGUCCGUAGCGAUUCUGACGUGCAAAUCGAUCGUCGGAACUGGGUAUAG
rnacentral:rRNA from 1 species